UGUUUGAUGUUCUAACGUGGACCCGUGAUCCGGGUUGCGGACAGUGUCUGGUGGGUAGUUUGACUGGGGCGGUCUCCUCCUAAAGAGUAACGGAGGAGCACGAAGGUUGGCUAAUCCUGGUCGGACAUCAGGAGGUUAGUGCAAUGGCAUAAGCCAGCUUGACUGCGAGCGUGACGGCGCGAGCAGGUGCGAAAGCAGGUCAUAGUGAUCCGGUGGUUCUGAAUGGAAGGGCCAUCGCUCAACGGAUAAAAGGUACUCCGGGGAUAACAGGCUGAUACCGCCCAAGAGUUCAUAUCGACGGCGGUGUUUGGCACCUCGAUGUCGGCUCAUCACAUCCUGGGGCUGAAGUAGGUCCCAAGGGUAUGGCUGUUCGCCAUUUAAAGUGGUACGCGAGCUGGGUUUAGAACGUCGUGAGACAGUUCGGUCCCUAUCUGCCGUGGGCGCUGGAGAACUGAGGGGGGCUGCUCCUAGUACGAGAGGACCGGAGUGGACGCAUCACUGGUGUUCGGGUUGUCAUGCCAAUGGCACUGCCCGGUAGCUAAAUGCGGAAGAGAUAAGUGCUGAAAGCAUCUAAGCACGAAACUUGCCCCGAGAUGAGUUCUCCCUGAGACUUAGAGUCUCCUGAAGGAACGUUGAAGACGACGACGUUGAUAGGCCGGGUGUGUAAGCGCAGCGAUGCGUUGAGCUAACCGGUACUAAUGAACCGUGAGGCUUAACCUUACA
rnacentral:rRNA from 8 species